CUGACUCAUGAAAAGGGGUGAUCUUGACAGGAAUACGAUGACCUACCCUCCCAAAACAUCUUUAAUAAGAAAAAUGUGUGCUUGACGUCCAGGGAGAGAACGGAGCAUUAGAACAGGAGUUAUAAAUUCAAGCAAAUCUGCUAACUCUUUUCCUCCUUGCACCAACGGAGACAUCUUAACUACAAUAAUUUUGGAAGCCCCCUAAGCUACAGAGACACAUGAAGUGAAACUGGCAGGAGCUCUCAACACAGCCUUGCAUUCUACAAUGAUUCUAGCAAUGGAUAAUAGUGUAGGCAGUUUCCAAUGCAGGUCAUAUAAGAAUCACAUUCUUUGAAGAAACGUUCCACAGGGGAAGAAACCAGAGAAGGUGGUGAAAUAGACAUCAGAAUAAUACAUCCCCCCACGUGCAAUAAAAUCCACAAAUACAACACCACGCCUCUGAUCUCCCAUUCUAUCCCCAGAGGUUUGCUCAAGCCAGGCACACGGAGCCAACUGCCUCAUAUGUGUCCAGCCCUUGACCCCAUGGAGAGAAGACCUUCUACUUCCAGAGCCUUCUCUUACUCCUCUACUCCAGCUUUCCACUGCAACUUUCCACAUUGUGUCUCUGACAAUGACCACCAUGACUGUCCCUUUCCCCUUGGUUACACUUAAUUUUUACAUACGCCUUACCAAUCAGUUCAUACUCUUCAACAAUGUAACUGCUGGACCUACUACCCUGACUCAAUACAC
rnacentral:lncRNA from 1 species